rnacentral:misc_RNA from 1 species
AACGCAUAUUGUGCUCUCUGGUAUUCCGGAGAGCAUGCUUGUUUGAGUAUCAGUAAACACCUCAACUCCCUUUCUUCUUGAAAUGGAGCUGGACUUGAGUGAUCCCAACGCUUUAUUCAUAAAGUGGCGGGUUACUUGAAAUGCAGGUGCAUCUGGACUUUUCUCUGAGCUAUAAGCAUAUCUAUUUAGUCUGCCUCAAAAACAGAUUAUUACCUUUGCUGCAGCUAACAUAAAGGAGAUUAGUUCUUGUGCUGACUGAUGCAGGAUUCACAAAGACCGCUUCGGCUGUCUUUGUAAACUCGAUCUCAAAUCAAGUAAGACUACCCGCUGAACUUAA